CAGUCGCCGCGGUAAUACGAAGGGGGCUAGCGUUGUUCGGAAUUACUGGGCGUAAAGCACACGUAGGCGGAUAUUUAAGUCAGGGGUGAAAUCCCGCAGCUCAACUGCGGAACUGCCUUUGAUACUGGGUAUCUUGAGUAUGGAAGAGGUUAGUGGAAUUGCGAGUGUAGAGGUGAAAUUCGUAGAUAUUCGCAGGAACACCAGUGGCGAAGGCGGCUAACUGGUCCAUAACUGACGCUGAGGUGCGAAAGCGUGGGGAGCAAACAGGAUUAGAUACCCGCGUAGUCCCUGUCUCUUAUAC
rnacentral:rRNA from 1 species